rnacentral:rRNA from 1 species
GACGAACGCUGGCGGCGUGCUUAACACAUGCAAGUCGAACGGAAAGGCCCUGCUUUUGUGGGGUGCUCGAGUGGCGAACGGGUGAGUAACACGUGAGUAGCCUGCCCUUGACUUUGGGAUAACUUCAGGAAACUGGGGCUACUACCGGAUAGGAGCUCCUGCUGCAUGGUGGGGGUUGGAAAGUUUCGGCGGUUGGGGAUGGACUCGCGGCUUAUCAGCUUGUUGGUGGGGUAGUGGCUUACCAAGGCUUUGACGGGUAGCCGGCCUGAGAGGGUGACCGGCCACAUUGGGACUGAGAUACGGCCCAGACUCCUACGGGAGGCAGCAGUGGGGAAUAUUGCACAAUGGGCGGAAGCCUGAUGCAGCAACGCCGCGUGCGGGAUGACGGCCUUCGGGUUGUAAACCGCUUUCGCCUGUGACGAAGCGUGAGUGACGGUAAUGGGUAAAGAAGCACCGGCUAACUACGUG